AGCGCCCGCGACGGCCGCAAUCACGGUAAAUCCGAAAUAACCGAAAACGCGACCGCGACCGCGAUUUGAAACCCUGGCUAUAAAAACUCUUGGUUUGCAAAAGAAGCGGGCAGAGAUGAUACAACGAAUGUCUCAGGAGUAUUUAUGGAAGGAAUGGACUUAUGUGACCGAGCUGCAUGGUGUUGGAAAGUAUGCUGCAGACGCAUAUGCGAUAUUCUGUACCAGAAAAGGGAAUAGAGUAACGCCCACCAAUCAUAUGCUUAACCAUUAUUGGAACUUUUUCUAUGGAUCCAAGAAUACUUCUCUCUAGUCUAGAUAAGAUAUGGAUUAAGAUGUCCGAACCAAUUACAGAAACCCAUAGUGGAAUCAUCUUCAGCUUCCGUUCAUUUUUUGUUGCUUCAAGAUACUGCGUUU